AUUAUUAUGUGUUUUUAAAGGUAAUCAGAUAUAUAAUAUAUGUUUUAUUUUUUCAGGAGAAAAAGGUUAACAAAAUCAGGAAUUUGCAAACUGUGAGAGAUAUUGAUGAAAGCAAGGUGAUUGAGUUGCUACAGAGAGGACCAGUUAUUUUGUGUAUAGAAGUAUCAUAUGAAUUUAAUUUUUUUACGGGGGUGAGUAAAUUACACAUAUAGACAUAUAUUUUUCAAUUACUAUACAUUAUGAUUUUCAUUAUAAUGUUUCUUAUAACCAAAACGACAGGAUAAAGUUCUUAGAGGAUAUCAAAGAAAGGGUCUAUAAGAUCAUAUGAUUGAGUUGACGGUUAUGACACUACUCUCGAAUGCGCUAACUACUUUGAAUUUAAAAAUUCAUACGGUUUUUGCUGGGGGAAAAUGGAUUUGGAAAACUAAUUCGAAAAAGUAGGCGAAAAAAACACGAGCCAUCUCUAAUCAAUGUUUUCAUGUAUCGAGAGAUAUACAUAAUAAUAUAAUAUUUUU
rnacentral:sRNA from 1 species